rnacentral:rRNA from 1 species
AGAGUUUGAUCAUGGCUCAGGAUGAACGCUAGCGGCAGGCCUAAUACAUGCAAGUCGUACGGGAUUGGGGAGCUUGCUCCCCAUGAGAGUGGCGCACGGGUGCGUAACACGUAUGCAACCUACCUUUAACUGGGGGAUAGCCUUUCGAAAGAGAGAUUAAUACCGCAUAAGACAGCACGAUCGCAUGAAAGAGUUGUUAAAGCUUCGGUGGUUAAAGAUGGGCAUGCGUUGCAUUAGCUAGUUGGUAAGGUAACGGCUUACCAAGGCUACGAUGCAUAGGGGAUCUGAGAGGAUGAUCCCCCACACUGGUACUGAGACACGGACCAGACUCCUACGGGAGGCAGCAGUAAGGAAUAUUGGUCAAUGGGCGCAAGCCUGAACCAGCCAUGCCGCGUGCAGGAAGACGGCCCUAUGGGUUGUAAACUGCUUUUAUCGGGGAAUAAACCUCAUUACGUGUAAUGAGUUGAAGGUACCCGAAGAAUAAGGAUCGGCUACUCCGUGCCAGCAGCCGCGGUAAUACGGAGGAUCCAAGCGUUAUCCGGAUUUAUUGGGUUUAAAGGGUGCGUAGGCGGUUUAUUAAGUCAGUGGUGAAAGCCCGGAGCUCAACUUCGGAACUGCCAUUGAUACUGAUAGACUUGAGUACAGAUGAAGUGGGCGGAAUGUGACAAAGCGGUGAAAUGCUUAGAUAUGUCACAGAACACCGAUUGCGAAGGCAGCUCACUAAAGUGUAACUGACGCUGAGGCACGAAAGCGUGGGGAUCAAACAGGAUUAGAUACCCUAGUAGUCC